AGUAAGUUUAAUUGGUCGCCAGAUGAAACGGUCUUCUUACAUCAAAAUCAUGAAAAAAUACGUAUAAUCAGAGGGUGUUAUGGGAAGAGUAUCACCCCUGAGGAUAAGAAGAGAGCGUGGACUGAAGUGGCAGAAGCUGUAACAAGUGCCUUCCCUGGGAGUGGACCCCGUACGCAGGAUGACUGUGAGAGGCGUUGGUACAACGUACAACAAAAAUCAAAGCCUCGCAUUGCCAAGUGCAAGAAUGAGCAGCGGCAGACUGCCCCGCUGCUGUAUUGCUAGAGACCAUCCCAGCACAUUGUUCAUUACUUGUGGUAAAGAUACCAUCAGCUGCUCUGGCAACAGCCACUGCUUCAACAUCUGCUGGCCCUAUGACACCAGCCACUGCUUCAUCAUCUGCUGGCCCAAUGACACCUGCCACUGCAAGGGAUGACAAUGAAGCUGUUCCACCACAGUCACCACCUACUUCAUCGGAGUUAAGAGAUGCCUUUCAUAGGGCAGCAGUAUAAUUUUUUGAUGCUGGGGCUGAAUAUUACUGUCUCAAGGCUAUGAUUUUGUCACUUUUUU